CCUACGGGUGGCAGCAGUGAGGAAUAUUGGUCAAUGGGCGGAAGCCUGAACCAGCCAAGCCGCGUGAGGGAAUAAGGCCCUACGGGUCGUAAACCUCUUUUGUCGGGGAGCAAGGGCCGGGACGAGUCUCGGUCCGGAGAGUACCCGGAGAAAAAGCAUCGGCUACGUCCGUGCCAGCAGCCGCGGUAAUACGGAGGAUGCGAGCGUUAUCCGGAUUUAUUGGGUUUAAAGGGUGCGUAGGCGGGCUAUUAAGUCAGCGGUAAAAAUUCGGGGCUCAACCCCGUCCGGCCGUUGAAACUGGGGGCCUUGAGUGGGCGAGAAGAAGGCGGAAUGCGUGGUGUAGCGGUGAAAUGCAUAGAUAUCACGCAGAACCCCGAUUGCGAAGGCAGCCUUCCGGCGCCCUACUGACGCUGAGGCACGAAAGUGCGGGGAUCGAACAGGAUUAGAUACCCUUGUAGUC
rnacentral:rRNA from 1 species